GCCGCGGCCGCUCGCUGGCUCCUGGCGCGGCCGGGCCUGAGCGCCGAGCCCCGGCUCCGACAUGUCCGGCAAGAUCGAGAAAGCAGUCAAUAACCCUGUGAGAAUAGUAAAUAGAGCUCCACCCCAGCGAAGCAGCGUGAAGAGUUCAAACGCUGGAAGAUGACCCUGUAGACACACACAAACGCAGUGCUGUUCCGUAUACAAUAGAACAGAAAGGCCAAAAAUACCCUACCAAACCCAUACGCUGCGCAGCGUAGAGACCCGGCCUUGCAACACACUGAACUCCCAUUGAAGAACUCAAGACAUCAUGCAGGAUCCGUGCCCAGAAAUGUGAGCCCCCAGCAUGGUGCUCUGGAGCUGUGCAGACAUGUUUCGUCUUACGGAGCUGAGUAUCUGCUUUUCAGCAGCUGAGCCCUGGGGACACGGUGCUAGGCAGAGCAGUGAGGAAUGAGGCUUCCUUUCAGAGAGGUUAGCUCAUCUCUUAGCGUCCGUGGAAAAGAGCUUACCUCACAUUCUCACCUGGACUGUUGCCCUUAAUCUAUGGCACUCGCUAAAGAGGAAAAUAGAAUCGAGCAUGUUCAAGCGAAUGUUUUCCAUGUUUUGAUCUUGUUUCUUGAGCUCAGCUCGGAGCAGUGUGGGAAGUGCCUUUUGGGCAGCGUGUGCAAUUACUCCCAGGCCUUCCAGAAAGCAGAGGUUAGCUGUGCAAUGGACUCCGAAUGUGCAGAGAGUCUGCAAUCAGAAGUCAAAAAUAAAAUGACUAUAAUUAGUAAUGACCAAAGCAACUGGAAAUGGUGUCAGUCAGAGCCGAGCCAGCUUUCUUUUUAUCUGUCACCUAAUGAAUGAGGGCUGAGGUUAUUCUCCAAGGAUGAGAGGGCUGAAUUUUUUUCCCAUUCAAAUCUGGUGCUGUGGGACAAAUGCAAACUCAGGGCUCAUUUACUACCUUGUUUUUCAGCUAUGGAACCUGCAGGCAGGUUGUGAGCAAUUACGCUUUUCCCCAAAGCAUCUAAAAUAACACGGCUCUGCUCGCUGUCCUGGAGAGCGCCGCUGACGCCAUCCUGUCACCUUGGAGAUGGAUAAACAGCUCCAGCAACACUGGGUUAUAAUCUUUCAGGUCUGAGCUUCUAAGCUGACAGCCGUACAAUUGAGACAUGAGUCUAGCAAAGAUUUUUGAUCGUGGAAAGAGUCUAAAUGUAAGAUGAGAGGAGAAGAGAGGAGAGGAGGGGGAGAAAGAGCUUAAGCCAGGCUCAGUGACCAGGCUUUUUGCUUGGCUGCAACAGCAGUGAAUGAAA
ensembl:lncRNA